AAGAGGAGGAGUUUUGCUCAGAAAAGAAAGAACCUUGGAGAAGAAGGGAGCGACUUUCUAAGGUGAAAACCCACGGCUGGAAGUAUGGAGAAAAAAAUAUCCUGAAAGGACUGGUAAGGUUCCCAAGUGAUUUGAAGGUCGGUAAUGUGAUAAACAAAGAGAGGAUCACCGACAGACAACCUGGGCAGCUCACUAAGCCAAGGACAAGCAGGUUAGGUUAUCUCCGUGGCAGCUUGACAUUCAAGGAUCACAAAGCUUCCCCAGAACAACCAUGCAUGGAAUGAUCUAAUUAUGCUCUGACAGGUCAUCCCACAAAACAAUUAGGAGGGACUGGAGAUAUUUUAUUAUGUUGCUCUGCGUGCUACACGUCAAAGACACAAUGGAAAAUGGUUGAAGAGCUCUGGCAUUAAUCAUGCUUGCAGCAAGAAGGGACCGUGGCAAUAAAAGGAGCAACCUUGCAUGGAGAGGCAGUGCCUGGGCUGACCCACCCAGCAGGGCACCACUGUGCUUCCUACCUGCAGGCAGAUCCUGUCCCAGCCCACCAUGGGAG